GGCUCCACAGAGCUGUAAAGGCAGCACAGAAGAUCAUUGACUAACCUCUCCCCUCCCUGAAGGACACCUCCCGCUGCCUAAACAGAGCUCUAACCAUCACCAAAGACAGCUCCCACCCUGGUUUUGACCUGUUCAAACUGUUGCCCUCAGGGAGGCGCUACAGGUGCCUCAAGGCUAGAACAAACAGACUCAAAAACAGCUUCUUCCCAAAAGUAAUAACCAUUCUGAACUCUCACAUGCACUGUUCGUAGUUCUAACACGUCAACCCCUGGACUCUCUUAACUAAUAUUAACAAUGAUUAGCUACUGUGCAGAGUCUACACCCUAUCUCCCUUUUUUACUUUGGAAAUUGUACUAUUUAUUCCACUGCCAGUGGAGUUGGCUAUUUAAUCUCAUUGUACAUGUGUACAGUGACAAUAAAGGCAUUCUAUUCCACUACGAGGCUGUUUAAGGAAGUGGGGAUCAGAGGACAGGCCCAACGGAUGGUAGUCAAAGAACUAGCCACUCUUGCUGAGAGAAGCAGCUGCCGGCCGUGGUUGAAACGGAAGUACACAGUAUGGGCUGUCAAAUGACCACGUUAUAAAUUUGUUGUGUGUGUUUGAAUGUUACGCCAUACGGAACCAGGGGCACUGAGCUUGCAUUAAUGAAGCCAGUGGGGCUAUAACAGCCUUAGCCAAUGGGGUGGCUCGUAUGUUUGAGACGAUCGGUAUUGUGUUGGCAUGUUAUGCCAUACAAGACCGGGGGCACUGAGCAUGCAUUAACGUUGCUCCCCUCGCUCUGCAGUAAUAGCUACCCUGGCUCUGCAGUAAUAGCUACCCACUGCUGCAGGUGUAUGUGUGUUCACAACUUGCAGUGCGUGAGUUCACUAAUCUUUGCUGGACGGGUUAAAUGCAUGGGUCACCAUUAGGGAUGGGAAUCGAGAACCGGUUCUUCUUUAGAACCGGUGCCCAGUGAAUCGAUUCCUUGGAAUCGUUAGCGUACCUGCUUAACGAUUCCGCUUAUCGGUUCCGCUUGUUGCAAAUAUGUCAUCAUCAUGAAGUCACACAUGCGCUGCGUUGUUUUGGUUACGCAGCAAACAUGUCAUCGAGGCAGAAGCGAUCUAAAGCGUGAUUAUAUUUCACUAGAAAAGACGCCAAUGCCGUCAUUUGCAACAACUGUAAAAGUUAAAUUUCGGCAAGGUAGGAACUACCUCCAAUAUGCAGAAACAUUUGGCCACACAGCACGCAAUUCAUUUGCAGGACUGUCGCGUGUUUGAUACACUACUACUUAGCGACAGAGCAACAACAAGUGAGUCAAGCAGCAGCGGAGCUAACGAGACGUCAUCUGCUAUUAAUGCCGAAGGUAACUUCUCUAUUUCGUUCAUGUGAGCGCCAUUUCAUUGUGUAAACUUUUACUAUAUGAAUUAUAAUCUCCAGAGUGACACAUUGCCAGUGUUGUCAGCUCUAGCUGAGAAGUAUCUCUGUGUCCAAGCUUCCUCCACCCCUUCUGAAAGGGUGUUCUCCACUGCUGGAGACACCUUAAGUCCAGAAAGAUCCCGUAUCCUUCCUGAGAGGGCAAAGAUGACAAUUUUUCUGCACAAAAAUUGUUAAUUUGCCUAAGUUGAUAGUUGUGGUCUUUACAGAAGACUUCUUUUUAUUGUGUAUGUCUGGUGAGUUGAAUUUGGUUUCAGGUAGAAUAUUCCCAAAGGCGCAAACUCUUCCUUGACUGUUUAGUCUGUGUUUUUUGUUUUUAUGGCACUUAAAUGGCAGUUUUAUUUUAUUUUUUGUCUGGACCAAUGAUGAAUGUGAAAAACUCUAUAGGUCCCUGGACUUUACUUUGAAGCCUACUUUUAGGUUUGUUCUGAGGUUGCUACACAUAAUUUGUGUAUACUCUGAGUAUGUGCUGUGUUCUUAUCAGAUAUUAAAGCGAGUUAAUACAAACAAACUAAUUUGUACUUAUUCCCUCACCCAAUGAGAAUCGAUAAGAGAAUCGAUAAGGAAUCGGAUCGAUAAGCAAUAUCGAUAAUGGAAUCGGAAUCGUUAAAUUCUUAUCAAUUCCCAUCCCUAGUCACCAUAGCUGACAAUAGGUUUUAGAGGACUUUUAGAGGACAGGUCCAGUGGUGCGGAAAGAAGAAGCCACUGACUGUGGUUCAGGCAGAUGGCCACAGCAUGGGCUGCUAAAUUACCUUGUAACAAUGCGACAAACAACCUGGUCUGAUCAACCUGCAGUAAACAUCCCUUGGCUGAGGGAUGUCUUGUUAUAAAGGGGCCAAAACACACAAUCAGGCUGAGGUGCACAACUGAAGAUGUGUCGCAUUGAUGGGAACCAUACAAAGGGCAUUAUCAGCAGCACCUCACUAAAGGCUUCUAUCACCCAGGAUAAUGAAUGGAAUGAAAGUGGGAUCGGACACACAAGUCAUGUGAUAAUAUAAAUGUCCUAUUGGGCAAUACAAUUGUGCUGAAAUAGUGGGAUUAUAACACCUAGUCCUAUUAAGCAAAUCUAAACAUUAACAUGUGCCAUUUCAACAGUGUGCAAUCAAGCGCAGAUUAACGCACAGGCUUGCCUAGGGUGCAGCCUAGGGGCCCCACCUGUCUAGGGGCCUCUGAUUACAAACUUUAUUUUGAAUUUACUUCAGCCCAAAUAAAAAAUAGUCCCUCAUUGGCCCUUUAGAAAUAUACCAAAAAAUAAGACGAUUGGAUAGAUGUUACAUUUGGGUCACAUCUGUCCAAUCAGCUGCUGAUUAAAUCAUGUCAAUCAUUUUCAUUUACGUCACUGCUAUUGCUAAACGGCAUAGCGGCAAAAUGUCUGAAAAAAGCACAGUGGAGCACAAAAAUGGAUUGCAAAGUAACUCGGAAUGAAGUGGAAACACCAUAGUACUUGAUGUGUGUAUCCGAGUGCGAUUGUUCUGGAGACCCUCGCAGCGUUGGUUUGUGCCUGGGCUCGGCUUGAUUCUAUCGAACCCAUGUGCGUUUGCACUUAUCUUACAUCUAUGGAACGCGUGAAAUUUGGACGCUUCAUAGUGACAAGUUUGAACGUGACUUUUUGUUCCGUGUAAACGCGAACGUUUCUUGCGUCUUUACGCAAAGUUUUUGAGCAUGUUAUUUGAAGACACGAUCGUUUGUAUAGCCAUAACGCGACAUUUUUGGCCGUGUUUUGUUUAAACGAACGUUUUUGUCGUGUAAACGGGUCAUUUUUUAGCGUGUAAUAAUAUGACUCUUAUUUUGAUACGUGACAUACUAAUCUUUCUGUUUUAGUUGAACUGCUGACAAAUUGAGGUCAAUAAAUAAAUUCAAAUCACUAAUCAUUUAUCGCUGUUAUUUAAUUGCUUCUUUUGUGGCAUACAUGUAUUUAUAUUCUAUCCUGUGUUGUAUAACUUUCAUAUAUUUACGUUUUUAUAUACAACUUAAAGGUCACUGCACACACAUAUUACAGCCUAUAACAUUAUGUCUUAUAUACUUUUAUUACUGAAUUUUAAAGAAGAUAUUUAGCAAACAAAAUGUAUUUAUUGAAAAGGGUUUAAACUAUGUUUUUCAUGCUUCAAUGUAACCAAAUUUCAAGCGCUUCGUGUUAAAAGUAUUCACCCCGUUCGCGUUCCAUAAACAUCUCCGCGGACAUGCAUGACAGGUGAUAGUGACGCUAGUGACUUGACGCUAUUAAGCGCAGCGCAGAGUAAACAACACUUUGUUUUACUGCAUGUUCGCUUACAGAGCUUUCUGCUGCUCGCAAACAUUCUAAUCAGGACUAUUUUUAAAUCUGAAAAACAUUGUAUUACCAUUCAUUUGACGCUCUGACUGCACUGGCAACGCGCAAAACAAGGCUCACUCUUGCUCAAAUCCAAGAUAAAUUACCAACACUAUCAUUACUUACACGUGGUUUCAUGAAGCAAAUGCGUUGUAAUCGGCUAAAGUGCGUGCACAGGGUUCGGUACCCUGGUGCGCAGCGGAGUUCUCGUGACAGCUUUUACAUUUGCGGCUUUUCAUGCAAGUCGUGCUCCGUUACGAACUAAACUAAAGAUUGAAAGGCACCCGGAAAGCCACCUAAGGGGGGCCUCACCCAAAGGGCCCCUUACCACCUUAAUCCCCCCCUGUGUGCAAUGCACACUCACUUUAUAUACAUUGAUUUCUAUGCGUCGCUAUUCUGCCUAAAAUAAACAUAUACAUUGAAAAAGACAUCAGACGUAACAAUUAAUUUAAACACACAUGUGAACUAAAAAAGUGUCGCGCGCUAAUAAGCUGAAAACUGGUUAUUUUAGAUCGUAAUUUUGACUGUAAAUCAAUGGCGCUCUCUGUCAGUUGGGUAUACCAAGAUGGCGGCGCGAUCGCUUCCAGCAGCUUCAUCUUGUUCCGUUGGUGGCGCAAUCCAGUGGUCUCAGCAAAAGACCCGCCCUACAUGACGUCAUUUGUGCCUAUCUGCGGAAGUUUCUCCGAUUAUUUUAGUUGUUUAAAUAUAGUGCUUUACUUCCAUUCAGAUAUUUAUUUGUUUUAUUUAUUUGAAGUAUUGGGGCACCAUGGGCAUCGGUUUCUUGAGCAUCUGUCUGUUUGCGCUGCUGAUAAAAAGAGUGUCCCUGCAGGUUGUGGGUUUUACUGGAGAUUCAGUUGUCUUGCCAUGUUAUUCCAGUGAUAUUGACCACAAACCUUCUGACAUUACUGUUUACUGGAGACACAAUGGCAGCCUGAAUGUAUACGACAUAAUUAAUGGCAAGAGUUCAGUUCAAGACCAGAACCCAAGAUACAAGAACAGAGCUGAAACUGUCUCUGAGAAUUAUGAGAAAGGAUACUUCAACAUCACACUCAGCAGUCUCUCACACACUGAUGCCGGAGAAUACCAAUGCUUCAUCACACAUUCCAAUGACCUUCUGAAAGUACAGCUGCUUAUUAAAGGUGUGUAAACAUAUUCAUAUUACAUGACAUUGUUUUAUUUAAAUAUAAGAGUCUGAAUACAUUUAUUUGUCUUGAUACUGCAAUACACUACAUUGUUUUCUGUAGACGCUAAGUGUGCCUUUAAUAGAGCUCCCUGAAUAUAGAAUGUGCAAUCUGGCCCAAAUUAACACAAUUUAAACAUAAAGAUGGUUGGACACCUGAUUCUCGGGGGACCCUGUCAGAAGCUUUACUAAUACCUUGUGAAUGCGGCAAGUUAAUGUACCUUAAUUGAACCAUUUUCUGUGAGUCACUGUAGUGUCGUUGUCGUUGAAACAUUUUUCUUUAAUGUAUACAUUAAAAAUCAAAUGUAUACAAAAUGACCCACAUUUGGUUUUUGACCAGUCAAAAGAGUGAAAUUUAAUCUCAGUGAAAAAAUAAAAUGUGGAUGCUGUCGUUUUCACCCACUGUAAUUUGCAAAUUGUCAUUUUGAUCAUGUUGAUGUCGUCAAUUUUACCAGAAAAAAGGUAUCACAUAUGUUUAAGAUAUCUUUAAUAUGAGGAAGUUUUUAAAACAUUUGGUUGAUUGGCCAUGCAUGUAUUAACUUCCAGUUUAUGAAACAGUCAGUUCUGGUCCUUGAUUCUUAUUGGUUGAGCCAAAUACAAAGCAGUUAUAAAAUACCAUGAUUUAUAACAGCUGACUGCAUUUCACUUUAUUUACUUUAUUUUAUAAAACCUUGCUACACAAAUGGAAUAACCGUUUUAUAAAAGCAAUACGCCUCGCGAAGCAGUGGGUUACAGUGCAUUUUAUAACAGCUAAGGCCAUGUUCAGUCUUGACUUCUUUUUUUAAACUGUUAGCGUUGGUUUUAUAAUCCUAUGGUGAAAACCAGGGGUAUUCAACUAAAAUUUAAAGAGGUCCAGUUAGAGAAAAUGUGCAAAAAAAAGAAGACCCAAAGGUCUGGAAACUCAUAAUGUCUAACUAGUAUGUAAGAUUUAUAUUUAACUAGCCUAGUAAAUGUAUCAACAUCUGCAUGUAAUCAAUACCUGACUGUUAUGUAAAAUGAUUCAGUACAAUUCAAAAACUUUUUGACAAUAUUUACUUUAUUGUCAUGUAUCAUAGAACUGAACAUAUAUGUAUGACUGUAGAUAUGUAUAAUGUCCUCUAAUUAACUUAAUAAAAGCAGGGCUGCAUUUCAAAAUAAAUAGAAUGUGAAAGUCGUGUGUAUUCAAUUAAUGUGCUUAGCAUUAGAAAAAUAAAAUAAAGGGAGAAAAAGCUUGAAUUUGCCCUUUUCUGUUUUACAUCUUGACUGAACGGUCUUAACUAAUUUUACAUAUAAUACAUCUCAAUACAUCUUAACAAUUGAACAGUUUUAGGGCAUCACUUUUCUUCCCCUGUUAUUUCCCAUUCCCCUACUUUUAUGCUCAGUGAGGAAAUUAGGCUCUAGCUUCACCUGCCAGGAUUUUAAACCUGGGCUUGAAUGGAGAAUGGUGAGCCUGGAAUGAUAUUUAUAUUUUAUUAUGUUCAUUGUGGAGACCGUUGCCUCGCAGUUGUAUGUGGAGCCAAACAUGGUCGAGAUGUAUCGGGCAACUUUCCUCAGACCUGGAAAAGCCGUCUCAGGGACCAUUUGGAGCCAGAAAGUGAAGGGGUCAGUUUUUACCAACUGCUCUUUUAGGGCCACAUCUGCUUGGAGAUCAACCAGUUGCAUCUGGUGAGGUCCAGCAUUUGCCCAUUUAAAGUGCUGUGUGACUUCCUUUGAGAACCCCCUGACAUCUGUGAGGAGAAAUGGGUUCUGAAUGAACAUGGUGAGCUGCUGUCCAAACCUGAAGCUGUCAAAACGGUUGCUUAGGUUAACAAUCAGCUUAUCAAUAAAGUCAACAGAAGAAGAAACAUCUCUCUGUCCCUGAACCUGUUCCUGCACUGCUGGGAAGUGUGCACUGUCUCCCUGCAUGUCUUCCUUGAACACCUAAAUUUUCCUCUGAAGGGAGCGGACAGCUGUCAUCAGUUCACAAAUUGAAUUGCCCUGUAGCCUCAAAUUCAGUUAAUUCAGAUGUGAAGUGAUAUCAACUGAAAAGGCCACAUUAUCCAUCUGUUUCUCAUUUUCUAAAAACUGCGAAGCCUUCUGACUUUUUAGCCCUGCCAAAAAAGAUGCUACUUCCCUCCUGAUGGAUCAAAAGCGUCUUAAUACGCUGCCUUGCUGAGCCAUCUCACAUUGUUGUGCAGCACAAGAUCAUGAGCAUUGGCAUCAACUUCUCUGAGGUAUUACUUAAGCAUGUGAUGCUGGUAGGAAGAGGAUGCCCUCAGAAAAUGUAUCAUUUUCAUAAUUGUAUUCAGCACCACAGGGAGGUGCAGAGGACGGAUUGAUGAAUAAUGCAAUGGUAAGCUAUUAGCUCAGGAUUGUCCUUUUUCAGUCUUGCUACAGCUCCUUUAUCUCUCCUUAUCAUACAGGGGCUCCAUCUGUGCUUAUUGAAAUCACGUGUUUUGGUUCUAUUCCUCUCUUAUGUAACAUCUCCUUAAGGGGCAGGUAGAUGUCUUCUCCUCUUGUACUGGUCAGAAGGGGAGUGACACCUAACAUAUCUUCACAGAAUGCUCUCUGGUCUUUGUUGAAAAAACUGAUACACUAAUAGCUGAGCAUUUUCACAAAUGUCAGUGGACUGUAGGUCUGGGUCUGUAUGAGACUGCUUCGGGGACCUCACCCGGAACGCAGUCCGCCUGUUUGUGACCUGUGGUGUAAACUGUGUUUUUGAAAAGAACGCUUUUUUAAACCCCAGCGCUGGGGUCUUUUUUGCACCUCAGGGCGUCUUGUGAGGUUGAAAUAUGUCAACUUUUCUGAAAAAAAAGCCCUACGUCAAGCACCUUUUUCCUAGCUAACCAAUGACAGAGACCUGUUGUUUCCAUGGCAACAUCCGGGGAACGUGAUUGGUUGAGAAGGUUCUAGCUCGAAAAAAUAAAAUGGCGAACGAAAAGCUUGUUUAAAUUUUCACUUUCAUCAACUUCUGAUUGAAUUUCUAUCGAGAAAUGAGUAUUGUAGUUUUUGAAUAUGUAAAGUUAUUGGAAAGACACUCUCUCAAAUAGACUUCUUUUAAGCUGCCUAUAUUACUCUGGGCUUCCUUCCUGCACAGACGCGGCACAGAUUUGUAACCUCACUUUUUUGGAACCUUUUUUUGCUUUUGUCAACUUCUUGUCAAAAAAAGAACAUGACCAAAGGUUUUUUUAGGCCCUUAGCUGUUAUAAAAUGCACUGUUACCCACUGCUUCUUGUGGCUCAAUGCUUUAUUAAAUGUAGGUCUAUAGGAACAACAGCAGGAUACUCUUGUGUAUGUUCACACUGCAGAAAUGUUUUUUUAUCAUCAUUGUGUGGUUUCUUUUUUGGGCAGAAUCAACAGCAUAUAAAGGAGAUGAGGCAAAAGAAACCAGGCUUCUGUGGACGAGAAUAUUAAUUCUACUUUGUGUUUUGGUGAUGUUAUGUAUUUGCAUCCGUAUUGCAUUUAGAUUUAAGAAAAAGAAAAAUGAAAACAACUCUUGUUCUGUGUUGUCUACUCCUGAAGGCUUCAGGGUUCAGACCAACAUAUUAGAGCAGUAGUUGGUACAAUCAAAUCUGCAGAUUAUUGCUUUGGCACACCAAUUUUUAUAUUUUUGGAGAUUUUGAUCUAUAAAGACAUAAUCUCUGUGCAUGCCUGGGAUUCUCUGGCAGUGCAUAAUUGUUUGUGUGUUUCCCACGUCUGAAAAAAGUGCCUCAUUUAACAAAAACAAUUUUGUUAACCUGUCUGUAUAAUCCAGGCUAAGGUCAAGGAACAUUUGAUUUCAACAAUUUAUUUCACUAUGAUUAUAAGCUUUGACAUGACAUUACUCAGUCAAAACAUAUCAAGGUUAAAUGUUCUUUACAUUACAAAUGUAGAAUGAUUUUUUUUGUUAAAAAAUGACAAGCUGGGUUUUUACAGACUGGUCACAUGUUUGUCCCCAUUUUGGGAUCUGUGACGGUAUUUUAUUUAUCUGUUAGGUGGGUUUUAUUAGGAUUGGAGUCAAAAUCUGCCAUACAUUGUUAAUUUAAAAACAUGAUUGGACACCCCUGAUUUAAUGAUAUCAAAAAUACAUGUACAUAGUGCUUUUUGCAAUCUCCAAAGCAGGGAAUUAGCUUUGGCCUAGUAAUGUUGAAAAUACUUUGUCUUCUUACACUGGAUACAUUUCAGUUUGGUGUUGCAUUUCAAUACUAUAAAUUUGUCUUAUAAGAUUCCGUACAUGUAUUCAUAUAUCAUAAAAAUGUGUUGUAAAAAUUCUGCAGGUGCAUUGAGGCAACAGCAGAAAAUAUUUUGUUGUCAAUUCAAUGUUUUUGUUUCUGACUUGAAUGUGUGACAUGUAAUAGUGACUGCCCAGUUAAGAUCUAAACCAUAUCAUGUGUAGCGUUAGUUCUGGCAGGUCACGGGGGUUCGGCUUGCUUCAGCUGAUCCCAUCAGGUGCAGCUAAAAAACAUUAAACAAUAGUCAUAAAACACACACUAGACAUCUCCUCCUAAUCUGCCUGUAUCUUCAGAUCUUUUAAUUUAAUCCUGGUACGCAUCAGGAACUGUUCUGGUUCCCCAGGUGGGGGGACAUGUAUUGCUGCUCUCCUGCUAUGUUCAUGCAAGGCUGCAUGGACGGCAGAGAGUUUGCCCAGAACAGUUUCAUUCCGGAAAACGAAAUAUAUGCUAUCGGUUAAUAAUUGACGACAGUGUUUCUGACAGAAGUAUAGAAAUGUAUCUUAUGAAAUAUGGCACCUUAUUUCUAUACCCCCUUUUGUGUAGAACUAUCUCGAAAAGUUAACAAACACUGGGCCCAAGUAGCCAUGAAAACAUUAAUUACCUAUAACCUUGCUUACACAUUGGGGACCCUGUAAACUAUAGUGAACCACAGAAUAAAAUUCUGUUUCUACUUGCAUGAUGGCUUUUAUACUACAAUGUUUAAUGCUUUUGGAUAGAAGUAUAACCUGCUAAAUGAAUAAACAUAAUCUGUCAUUUAACAUUUCUAUGACUUUUUUUGUUGAACACUUAAAACAUAACUUUUAUUGUUUGUAAUAUUUUUAUUAUGAAUAAAUUUAUGAAAAAACCAAGCUACGAUUAACUUCACAGCCCCACCGCGUUUGCGCCC